UUCCCUGAAUGGGUCAGCAUUUAUUCUCCAUCCAUAGUUUCCUGUGAGAAGAUGGUGAUGAGCUGCCUUCAUGAAUUGCUGUAAUCCAGUUGCUCUUCACGAUUAUCCCUGGAAUGGCUUCUUUGAUCCUGUGCUAGUUCAUGUGGAGCAUCCUGUGGUCGGUCUAUCUAGGAGUUUGAACAUGGAAAUAGGGUCUCAAUGGCAACAGCCACACUGACCAGUUUAGCCUGGGGAGCUUUGCUGGAUUGCCGAGUGUGUACACAUGCCAUUCCAUACGGACUCAAGUGCUGAUUUAUUACUGGAGAAAUAGGCACUAUUGGAUUCCAUUUCUUAGCCCACAGGAGGAAACCAGAGCACCUGGAGGAAACCCACGCAGAC